rnacentral:rRNA from 1 species
GAGGGGUGCAAGCGUUAUUCGGAAUCAUUGGGCGUAAAGGGUGCGUAGACGGCAUGCUAAGUUACUUGUUAAAUCCUUCGGCUCAACCGAAGUACAGCGAGUAAAACUGGCAAGCUAGAGGGUGGAAGAGAGAAGUGGAAUUCUCGGAGUAGCGGCAAAAUGCGUAGAUCUCGAGAGGAACACCGAUGGCGAAGGCAGCUUCUUGGUCCACACCUGACGUUGAGGCACGAAAGCGUGGGGAGCAAACAGGGAUUAGAUACCCUGGUAGUCCACGCUGUAAACGUUGAUCACUAGACGUUAGUUCUGGUUUUCCGGGAUUAGUGUCGAAGCUAACGCGAUAAGUGAUCCGCCUGGGGAUACGGUCGCAAGGCUA